rnacentral:lncRNA from 1 species
UGUGUGUGAAUUCUGGACACUUUAGAGUUGGUCUACACGUAAUAUGAGUCAAUGAUUCGGAAACCUGGUAGACCAUGUUUACAAAACAAGUAGGUUUAUGUUCGUAAACAGGUAGACCAUUUUGUCUCACAAAAAAAGUAGACCCGUACUCGUAAAUAAGUAGACCAAGCUUCCUAAACAGGUAGACCUCUCAAGAAUUCUUUAAGUGUGUGUGAAUUCUGGACUCUUUAGAAUUGGUCUACUCGUACUGUGAGACAAUGAUUCGAAAACUUGGAAGACCAUGUUUACAAAACAGGUAGGUUUGUGUUCGUAAACAGGUAGACCAUUUUGUCUCACAAAAAAAGUAGACCCGUACUCGUAAAUAAACAGACCAGGCUUUGUAAACAGGUAGACUUCUUAAGAAUUCUUCAAGUGUGUGAAUUCUGGACUCUUUAGAGUUGGUCUAAUUGUAGUGUGAGACAAUGAUUCGAAAACUUGGUAGACCAUGUUUACAAAACAGGUAGGUUUGUAUUCGUAAACAGGUAAACCAUUUUGUCUCACAAAAAAAGUAGACCAUUUCUCAUAAAUAAGCAGACCAGGCUUUGUAAACAGGUAGACCUUUCAAGAAUUCUUCAAGUGUGUGUGAAUUUUGGACACUUUAGAGUUGGUCUACACGUAGUAUUAGUCAAUGAUUCGGAAACCUGGUAGACCAUGUUUACAAAACAUGUAGGUUAGUGUUCGUAAACAGGUAGACCAUUUUGUCUCACAAAAAAAGUAGACUUGUACUCGUAAAUAAGCGGAUCAGGCUUCAGAAACAGGUAGACCUCUCAAGAAUUCUUCAAGUGUGUGUGAAUUCUGGACUCUUUAGAGUUGGUCUACUCGUAGUGUGAGACAAUGAUUCGAACAGCUUGUACACCAUGUUCACAAAACAGGUAGGUUAGUCUUCGUAAACAAGUAGACCAUUUUGAUCUCGUUCUCUUUUAAUCUUGACCGUUGAUUCCUUCUUUGAAAACCCAACCAAGGUCAACUGACCCAAGUCGGGUCAAGCACUCUUCUCUCGCGUACGAUGAGAGCUGAGAAGCUCUCCGUCCCCGGCCGUCUUCUCCGACGCCGCCCGGUCGACUCUGGCCACCAUUCUCCACAAAACCACCACCAAAUUUCUUCUCUCUUUCCCCUCUACAUAACCCAGCCCGUGAAUCGCACAUACUGAUUCAAAGACAAAUCAACGACGAGAAGCUCCGACUGUGUUCGUUUGUUUCCGCCUUCUCCGGUGAUGACUUGGCCUAGAACUGGCAUAUUCGAACUUUUCCCUUCAUUCUUUGCACACUAGUGCCCUUAAUCCCUCGAAUCUUUUACAAAUCUUAAUAACCCCUUUACUGUCGAAUUUGAGUUUUCCGACGACCUGCUACGGUGGAUGCCGACGAGACUUUCUAGCGUCCUCUACUUCUUCCGAUGACCUAGGUCGACGUCAGAGGUGUUAAGCAGUGGUAAGUGACUUUGUAGCUACUGAGCAGGGUUGCUGUGUUUUCCGGUGUGUUUUUGUGAGAGAGAGAGAGAGAGAGAGAGAGAGAGAGAGAGAGAGAGAGAGAGAGAGAGAGAGAGAGA